rnacentral:rRNA from 1 species
UACGUAGGAGUCAAGCGUUGUCCGGAUUUAUUGGGCGUAAAGCGCCCGCAGGCGGCUUGCCAAGUUCGAUGUGAAAUCUCCCGGCUCAACUGGGAGGGUGCAUCGAAAACUGGCAGGCUUGAGGCAGGGAGAGGGAUGUGGAAUACCCGGUGGAGCGGUGAAAUGCGUAGAGAUCGGGUGGAACACCAGGGGCGAAGGCGGCAUCCUGGCUCUGUUCUGACGCUGAGGCGCGAGAGCGUGGGGAGCAAACCGG